CUACGGGGGGCUCCAGUGAGGAAUAUUGCACAAUGGGGGGAACCCUGAUGCAGCAACGCCGCGUGGAGGAUGACGCAUUUCGGUGUGUAACUCCUUUUAUAUGUCAAGAAAAUGACGGUAGCAUAUGAAUAAGCACCGGCUAACUCCGUGCCAGCAGCCGCGGUAAUACGGAGGGUGCAAGCGUUACUCGGAGUCACUGGGCGUAAAGGACGCGUAGGCGGGUUGGAAAGUCAGGUGUGAAAUCCUACAGCUUAACUGUAGAACUGCACUUGAAACUUCUAAGCUAGAGUAUGGGAGGGGGAGAUGGAAUUAGUGGUGUAGGGGUAAAAUCCGUAGAUAUCACUAGGAAUACCUAAAGCGAAGGCGAUCUCCUGGAACAUUACUGACGCUAAGGCGUGAAAGCGUGGGGAGCAAACAGGAUUAGAUACCCCGGUAGUC
rnacentral:rRNA from 1 species